rnacentral:lncRNA from 1 species
UUAAUUAUAAGGGGUCCAUACAAACACGAAAUCCCACAUGUCUUCUACAUCUAUCUAUUCUUAACGAGCGCAAUGCCCAUUUAGCUCUUUACCCACGGGUUAUCCAUAUUUUACCCGAUUCCUACUAUAAAAUACACAUUUUACUUGACCCAUUUAGUAAACUAAACCGGAAUAUAACCGACUCCCCCAGCUAAAGUUCUGCGCUUGCCUU